rnacentral:rRNA from 1 species
UCCGAAGGGGGCUGGCGUUGCUCGGAAUCACUAGGCGUAAAGCGCACGUAGGCGGACCUUUAAGUCGGUGGUGAAAUCCUGGAGCUCAACUCCAGAACUGCCUCCGAUACUGGGAGUCUUGGAGUCCGGGAGAGGUGAGUGGAACUGCGAGUGUAGAGGUGAAAUACGUAGAGAUUGGGAAGAACACCAGUGGCGAAGGCGGCUAUCUGGACGGUUUCUGACACUAAGACUCGAAAGCGUGGGUAGCAAACAGG